rnacentral:rRNA from 1 species
GUCUAGUGCCAUACCUCCCUGAAUGCACCCAAUCUCGUCUCAUCUCGGAGGCUAAGCAGGGUCGGGUCUGGUUAGUACUUGGAUGGGAGGAAGGAAAUGUCCGUGGAGGCC